UUCUGCUUCUGCCAGAAACAAUUCUCAUCAAUUCUCAUCUUCUGUGGAUUAUGGUGUCGCACUGGUCAGCUUCCAAUUCAACUCAUUUUGUUCAUGAAGUCGUCCACAAUUACUUUGGGGAUAAGAAUUAUUUGGUUAAAAAUAAUGCGUAAAAAAGAACAUACGCACGAAUGGGACAAUAUGGCUUUUGAGCCAGAAACCAUAACUGCUGUCAUUUGUGACGCAGGUGCCAUGGCCACCACUUCCUGUGGAAAGAGUCGCGAUUUGGUUGCAUAACUAUUUGUUGGUUCACCACUGAUUUUGCUUUGAUUAUUGUGCACAUGUAACGGUGUUAUUCACUUGAAUGUUUCUGUAGACACAAAUCCAUGUGACUUGGCUGCUCGGUGUGGGGCCAAUACACAACUCUUUGCAAUCUUCAUGAACUGUCGCCUCACUUGCACUCAGUUUCUACAAGUGUCUGUUUCUCCCCCAUCAAACUUUGUUCUGUCAGUCUGCAAUAGGGUGGAGUUUGAGUCACGUGACGACAUUGUGAGGUAAGAGCUCGGGUGCAGAAGAGAAGAGCGGAGUUGACGGAAAUUCAUUCAGCAUGUUUCUGUCUGCUUGGUCGCUGCUCGUCAUCACUGUGGCAGGCGCCAGCGGUGACCAGCUUGAGGCAGUCACGGGCGAAGUGUUGGCAUCAGAAGGCAAACAGGUGACACUGUCGUACGUUUACGCCACAGUGCCUACUGGUGGUGAUUAUUUCUUCUGGUACCAACAACUUCCUGGACAAGCACCACACUUCCUGCUUUCCCACUUGGGAAGCGGCAGCACGUUCAACGCCAAGCAAGGAAUAUCGGCGAGCGUGGAAAGUGACAGGAGACGAGUGCACCUGCACAUCGAGGAUGUGACAAUUGAGCACUCUGCAGUGUACUACUGUGCUGUGAAGACCACAGUGACACAAGCGCCACAUUCUUGUUACAAGAACAUUUCCUCUUCCUAAGCUCAUCACAUCACACUCCCCUCUAGUAGCUUACAAAAAAAAUCUCCCAAAAAAAAACAAAACUUUAUUUACCUUGUUUCAAAUUAUUAUGCACAUUAGUGUUUCAAGACAUUUUAUAGGUUUUAAAGAACUGAAAA